GCCGCUAUGGUGAAAUUGGUAGAAACGCUGCUCUUGGAAAGCAGUGCUAAUGCAUCUCGGUUCGAGUCCGAGUGGCGGCA
rnacentral:tRNA from 1 species